rnacentral:rRNA from 1 species
UACGGGGGGGGGCAAGCGUUGUUCGGAAUUACUGGGCGUAAAGGGUUCGUAGGUGGCCUACUAAGUCAGACGUGAAAUCCCUCAGCUUAACUGGGGAACUGCGUCUGAGACUGGUGGGCUUGAGUGCAGGAGAGGAACGCGGAAUUCCAGGUGUAGCGGUGAAAUGCGUAGAUAUCUGGAGGAACACCGGUGGCGAAGGCGGCGUUCUGGACUGCAACUGACACUGAGGAACGAAAGCCAGGGGAGCAAACGGG